GACGAACGCUGGCGGCGUGCCUAACACAUGCAAGUCGAGCGAUGAAGACUGGUCUUUGCACCAAUUUGAAGAGCAGCGCAGGGGAGAGUAACGCGUGGGGAAUCUGCCUCUCAGCGGGGGACAACAUUUGGACACGAAUGCUAAUACCGCAUAACAACUUUAAACAUAAGUUUUAAGUUUGAAAGUUGCAAUUGCAUCACUCAAAGAUGAUCCCGCGUUGUAUUAGCUAGUUGGUGAGGUAAAGGCGCACCAAGGGGGUGAUACAUAGCCGACCUGAGAGGGUGAUCGGCGACGUUGGGACUGAGAGACGACCCAAACACCUACGGGAGGCAGAAGUAGGGAAUCGUCGGCGAAAGGCGAAAUACUGACCAAGCGACGCCGGGCGAGUGCAGAAGGUUUUCGGGUCGUAUGACUCUGUUCGUAGAGAAGACCGUUUGUGAGAGUGAAAAGCUCAUCUAGUGACGGUAACUGGCGAAGAAGCGACGGCUAACUACGUG
rnacentral:rRNA from 1 species